rnacentral:misc_RNA from 1 species
GAAAUGCGAUAAGUAGUGUGAAUUGCAGACAUCAGUGAAUCAUCGAAUUUUUGAACGCACAUUGCGCCCUUUGGUAUUCCGAAGGGCAUGCCUGUUCGAGCGUCAUAUCAACCUCAAGCACUGCUUGGUUAUGGGCGUUUUGUCUUGGGUUUCUCUUGACUCGCCUUAAAGACAUCGGCUGCCGGCAUAUCCUCCUUGGCACACAGUACAUUGUGUCUGCCCGUGGGGCUGUGGUGGCGUGCCGUUUCAAAACAAAACACAUCAAGGAUUGACCUCGGAUCAGGUAGGAAUACCCGCUGAACUUAA